GAUGAACGCUGGCGGCGUGCCUAAUACAUGCAAGUCGAGCGAACAGACGAGGAGCUUGCUCCUCUGACGUUAGCGGCGGACGGGUGAGUAACACGUGGAUAACCUACCUAUAAGACUGGGAUAACUUCGGGAAACCGGAGCUAAUACCGGAUAAUAUAUUGAACCGCAUGGUUCCAUAGUGAAAGACGGUUUUGCUGUCACUUAUAGAUGGAUCCGCGCCGCAUUAGCUAGUUGGUAAGGUAACGGCUUACCAAGGCAACGAUGCGUAGCCGACCCGAGAGGGUGAUCGGCCACCCUGGAACUGAGACACGGUCCAGACUCCUACGGGAGGCAGCAGUAGGGAAUCUUCCGCAAUGGGCGAAAGCCUGACGGAGCAACGCCGCGUGAGUGAUGAAGGUCUUCGGAUCGUAAAACUCUGUUAUUAGGGAAGAACAAAUGUGUAAGUAACUAUGCACGUCUUGACGGUACCUAAUCAGAAAGCCACGGCUAACUACGUG
rnacentral:rRNA from 1 species